GAGAUCUUUGUAAGGUUUAAUAACAAAACACCUCUAAUGUGCAUCUCACAUAGUGUCUAUAAUCAUCACCCAUCCAUCCACCAGGGGUGUAAGAUGCAGAGUAAAGCACAUUAUAUACCAUUCACAAUUGCUGACACAGCUAAUUACAGUGACUUAUCAGCACCUGCUACACUGCUACACAGCUGAAAAACUAGGUGAGGAUUUAACAUUUAAACAAACUAUUCAACAGUCUUGGGCCUCUCUGGAUCUCCUUUUUUAAUAUCAUUUGUGCUUAUGGUGGUAUCAGGGCAGUUAUACAUGACCCUGCUUUUGGUACUGUUGGUGCCCCCAAAGAUUUUGAGGCAGGCAUAUGGCUUCGUUUCCAAUUGGUGCAUAUCCCAUACCAUCCUGCUAAAAUCCUUUAACUUUUUCUUAUUUUUUACUCUAGCUACUUUGCUUUAAAAAAAUGUUUUGCCCCACUUUUGUUACACCAAGAAUGUCCCACCAGAGGACAUUAAUAAAACAACAUUGGGGAAACAUCGCAGAACAAUGAAGAAAUGAUUGAGCUUGUAUAUAUAAAAGUGCUUGUAUAUAAAGUUCUAUAUGACUUGAGGCCCAAGCUGUUGAGUCUCCAUAUGCUCCAGCCAUACCUUAUGGUCUGUGGUAGAGGCCUUUCUAACAGCACCACUGCUACAAAUGACAAGGAGGGUGGGCUUUCUCUGUGGCAGCACCUUGUCUUUGAAACUCCCUCCCAGAGGAAAUUAGGCAGUCCCCAUCCCUGACCAUAUUCAGGAGGAACUUAGACCUUUUUAGUUGUAGCUUGUUAAGGGUACUGGGAACUGUAGCUCUGUGAAGGAUAAACUGGAGUUCGCAGGAUUCUUUGGGAGAAGUCAAGAGCAUAUUGGAUGUCCUUUGAUUUUAUGGUGUGGCUAUGCCCCUGCAACUUCAGCAGGCCCAAAGGCCAUCUGGGCACUGUCUUCCCCAUUAUGGUGAGAUUGUUUGAAUUUCUAUUUCAAUUAUAGUAAUUAUUUCUAAAUUUGCAUCUGUAUACAUGUAAAAUUGGCAUAUGCAAAUCUUCAUCUUUUUUUAGUGAGGCAUUUCCUCUCUUUUGGGAAUGCAGAAAUGGUCACACUACUUUGGGUGCAAUCCCGCUGGAACAGAGCAUGUUCAAGUCCCAUUCAUUCACUUCAGUGGAAGCAUUUGGCACAAGCUUAAUUUUCAGCUUAAUUACAUUUUUGGAACAGUGCUGUAUGAUUAAUGAGAUCCCAUUUUUGUUUGGGAAUGGUUUUCCUUUAGUUCCCUGGACAGUUUUGCAUGCAUAUACUUGAUUCUAAGUUCUCUUCAUUCAUUGCCCUAUCAUCUGUUUACUUAAUCACAACUGAACGGAAGAGUUUCUCCCAUUAAACUUCUUUUCUUUACAUCUUGUAUAUGUAGCAGUAGGAUUAUAACAGUUUGGUGUCCUCUGCACCAUUGGCUAGAUUGAACUAUGCCAUUAUAACAGCCUUUCUCAAGCUUGGGUCCCCAGACAUUGUUGCACUACAACUCCCACCAUCCUGCUAACUAGGGAUAAUGGAAGUUGUAGUCAAGCAACAACUGGGGACUCAAGCUUGGGAAAGGCUGUGUUUUUGUAUACUUGCUUACGUUUGGGUUCAGGGGACAUACAGUAGCUCAGCUUUCAUAAAGUGUCUGUAAUCAGGUGGAUGCGUCAAAAUCUUGCCUGAAUAGCAAUGUUUAUUCCAGCUUCAGCCUGAAGCAUAACUGAAUGGAGAGAGUCAAAUAAUGAGAGGUAUAUAUAUACCCUGAGAUAUUCAGGAAGGGCAGGAAGUAGCAUUCUUAAAUAUAUAUUGACAAUAUAUCACAGUCACAUAAUGUCCAGACUCCAGAGGGGUAGCCACAGUAGUCUGUUGUCACAAGAACAACAAAAAGUAUUUUGGCACCUUAAAGGCGAACAUUUUUUUUUUAUGGCAUAAGCUUCUUUGAACUAGAGUCCACUUCACCAGAUGCACAAUGUGUAAUUCUUGCUGGUCAGUUAUAUAUCUACAUAAGGGUGUAAAGAGAAAUGUUAAAGUUGGAGUUAAAUGACAAUGAAUUGAAAAAGUUCCAUCCGUGACCAUUCCGUUAAAUAUAUGCAAACUGAUCCUUCACAGCAUCAGCAAUUGGCAACAGCACACUCAUUUUAGACAAUACAACUGGAGUUUAAAUUAUUAAAAGUGAGUGCAGAUACCCUUCACAACAGCAAUGGUGGUGAUGGGGAUAACAGCAUCAUCUUAGCACUGCUGAGUACAUUUAACAGCAGCAGCAGAGCAGAAUACCAUUGUCUCUCUUCAGACCCAAAUGAAUAGAAUUGAACUUUUUGAGAAUUCGGCAAUUUCAUGCUGGAGUUUCCAUUGGACGUUCCUUUGGUCCUGCCCUAACUACUCAGGGUGAUAUUUGAGCAAUAGAAUGUUCGUUAAUAGUGCAGUUUAUGUGAGGGAAGUGGAACAUAAGAAUGGAUAGAGGAAAAGAGACUUGGAGGAGCUAUGUACUGUUGCCAUAAAGAGCAGAAAAUGCAAGAUAGGGGAUAGGUGAGCUCUAGGAUAGAUCUAGGUAGGGCUGGAGGAGAACUUUGCCUGAAACCCUGGAGAGCCACUGCCAAUAGACCAUACUGAUCUAGAUGAAUCAGUAGCGGCCUGAAAAAGGAACCUAAAGGAACGGUGAGUAAAGAAGGCAGGGAGUAGUGGUGGUGGUGGUGGUGGUGUAGGAAGCAAUUGUCCUAAAGGCAGAAAGGAUUGCAUGCUGUCAGCAGAAGUAUACAGGCAAAGAACAGGACCAAGCAUCAAGAAGAGCAAAAGUGUAUGGAGAGAUGUACUUAUGAGUCAGUCUUUAUGGCUGUUCUGAAUGGUUUCAUGCAUGCUCUUGGAUGCUGCUCAGUUCUUUAGAUUGUGCUCCUUGCUGUUGGGAGGGAUCAUUUGGCCCUAGAGCAAAGGCAGGUUUGCAUUAGGAGCGAUCAGUGGUCAACCAUAGGCAAGCUUUUGUUUUUGGGUCUGACUCAGUGAAUGAAUUUGGCCAAGUGUCAUUCAUGGGUCAAGAAGCAUGGCCAUGGGAGGUCAUGGAACCUAAAUCUCUCACUGGGUUACCCAGAGCAGCAGAUAGCUAGAAUUCCAGCUCAACAUCUGAUUUUUUGCUUCAUGAGACAGAUGUUUAGGGCAAAAGCAUCUGCUGUGUUUUCGCUCUCUCACUCUGCAUCUCUUCUUCUCAUUCCUCGUUCAUGCACAACAGUAAAAAGAAAAAGAAAAAAAGAAUUAGGUUGUCAAACACUUAAUAAUUCGUUUCCAUCACAAUCUGAUGAAUGGAAUUUUUACAUCAUUUGCUGUAGUUUUACGGGGUAACAGUGUUCACUGAGGAGGAGAAGGCGAUGGUUUAUACAGUGAAGAAAAGGCGAAACCAGAGAACGAAUGUUAUGGUUGUGAGUGGUUCACCUGCAUAGAGAACUAGGCACAUCUGCUACAAAAUUUGGUUGAUUUUUAUACCAGUUUAACACUCAUGACUUGCAUAAAUAAUCCCAGGACCUGCAGCUUGCUGAGGCUGCUAAUUAUGUCUUAUUUAUUAAAGUAUUUUCAACACCACUCUUCAGCCAAAGAAAGCUUCCAGGGUGGUUUGCAGAUAUCAACGGCAGGACAGAUCUUACCAUCAGAUUUAUAAUCUGAAAGUGGCACAAAGGGGGAAAAGAGAAUAGGAGAUAGGAGCAGGGAAAGCCAACUCAAACACUAGUUCUUAUUUAUAAAGUUUUAACGACAAGCUGGAAUGGAAACAGUUCAAAGAGAGCAUGAGCCAAAUGUGGUUUGUAUCUCAGUUGAGCCAAUGGAGUGGCCCUGCUUCCCUUCCUCCCCCCUUGACUGCAGUCUGAUGGAAUGGCUGCUGUCAGGUGACAGCUGAGGGAAAAGGAAAGCUGAUGAUGCCUUCAAAGAUCUAUAAAGAGAAAAUUUAUAGCCCCUUACAUUUCCCUGGAGGGCAAGAGAAUAGCAGUUAAACUAUUUUAGAUGUAGAUGGGCCUUAAGCAUUUGGUUUUCAGCCUGGUCUUCAUGCUUUGGGGAACAGAACAGCCAUUCACAAAAUAUUAGCGGUCAUUCUCUGUGUCAUAAAGGGAUUGUGGUCUUCUGAAAAUCUGAUUUGAAAGCUCUUUGGUUACAAAAAUAAAACAAAGCACGUUAACAAUGGAAUUUUUUUAAAAAAAGCUUUCAUAUAUUAAUGUAAAUCCUUUCACACGAGAUAACUGAAAAAUUUAAAAGUAAACUUACCCCAGUAUUUGAAGAUAAGGCAAAUCAUAACCAGUUUAUUGAAAAGAUUUGGUACACUAAGAGAAAACACAAGGUUUGAAAUAUUAAUUUCAAAAAGCAAACACUCAAAAGGAAUCAUAGGAGAUAUAUAUAAAAUAACUGCAGAAGUGGAAUCAUCCCAGCCUAGAUGUCAAUCAAAAUGGGAUACAGAUAUGACUAGCAAGAUAUCUCAAGAAAAAUGGGCCUCGUUCUGGGAGAAACAUUUCCAGAUUUACACUUUGUAGGAGUUUAAAAUUUAUAAAAUCAUGCCUCAUUGGUAUCUGUCUCCAGAUAGACUGCAUAAAAUAUAUCCAACAAUAAACAAUCGGUGUUGCAGAUGCUCCAAAUGUGACUAUUUGUCAUGUACUUGGAGGAAUGUCCGAUUAUUAAAUUAUUUUUGGAGUCAGUAUUAACAGAAAGCGACAAUGUCCUUGGCUAAGUCCACCCCAUGAAUCCUAUUCUAACAAUAUUUGGAUAUCUCAACAUCAUCAUUCCAGAGUCAAAAAUUGGUAGCCUAUUUAUUAACUGCAGCAAAAAUUUGGGAAAUGACCUUUAUGACUAAAGUUACAAGUCUUAAUAAGAGUAAGAGAAGACAUACAAAUAGAAUAUAAUUCUACCAGAAAAUAGAGUUUGUUUCUACUAUAUGCAAGGUGCAAGAGCAAAUAAAUCAUUAUUCCCUGUUAAGAGGCAUAUAGACAUUAGAGAAAACUAUGAGUUGGCCACCCCUGCAGUAUGUCAUUGGCAUACACAGAAUGUGCCUAAUCCACAUUUUUUUCAAAUAUCUAAAACAAUUUCAUUCAUAAACAGCAACAAGGCACAACAGUUUAUCAUUUUAGCUAUUGGAUUAUUGCCUUAAACACAUGCGUGCACACACAAUUCCACUAAUGCCCAUGUACAGAAGACUAGAUUUUUUUAAAUUUUUUUAUUUUUAAGUUUUUAUUGUUAAAAUAAUUCAGCAUUAAUACACACAUAUUGCGAAUAUACAAGCAUACAAACAUACAUUUCAUACAAUCCUUAAAAAUAUUCAAACAUACCUACAUUCAGUCCCACAGAUAAUUCAUUUUCCCACCACCAUCCCUCAGGGGGUGAGGGGUGAGAGAAGACUAGUUUCAAAUAAUGUAGAAUACUGAAAGCUUGAUCCUUUUUGUUGUUAUCAUCAUUAUUGUGUUUUUUUAAAAAAACCAGUCUUGAUUGCUUCACAAGUAUCAUGGUGUGGGAAACUUUAAUGUGAUGGAAUUCAUACAAAUAGACAUGGCAUCAAAGUGUCUGAAGUCCUUUGGGAGGAAAGGCAGGUUCGAAAUUUAAUAAAUAAAAUGGCACCCUGGGACACAAAGGCAUUUAGGUAGGAAUGAAUGAAUCAUGUUGCUUCUGCGUCAAAACUCACUGGCACACUGUAUUUUUGUUUUUUCCUGAAUUUGUAUAUCUACCUUUUAAAUCUGGAUUCUGGAGGGUGGGGUAGUCAAUUGAUUUUCCUCUUCCUUCAUUAAGAAUAGAUUUAUUGUACCAACAUAGUUUGAUGCAGCUAUCUGUUUAUGCCAGCAUGCUGUGCCUUGGUGAAAGCCUAAGUCAGGCCCAAUAGAGGGCAUUGAUGAGAACAUUUAUAGAACAUUUAUGAAUGAUUAUGAAGGCCUCCCCAAGUAUUUUUGAGUGGACCUCAGGAUUUACCAUCAGAAAUAUGUGUAUUUCCUGAAUUUGAUGCAUAGUUUGGGAAUUGUAUUAUCUUUCCUGUAUCUGAUGUAUAUUUUGUGAACUUUAUACUUCAUUAAAUUUAUGUAUAUUUCCUGAAUUUGAUGAUACUGUGUCAACUAUAUAAAGGACUGUGUAUAUGUAUGACUUCAUUUCCACGGGGGCUAGAGAAACUUAUCUUAGGACCCCACAGGUUGAAAACAUGUAAUGUAAAACUAAGGAGUACAAAGGCUUAAACCUAGAUCUUAAGGGGAACUUGCUUUGCUAAGUUCACACAGCAAGCAUUCAAUUUUUGGCAGCUCCAACUGUUACCUUAUCCCACCCUUUCAUGCUAUUUGACUACAUUAGCAUCCAUUUUAUUCCAAGCUCACAAAGGACCUAUCUCAAAUCUAUUACCUAUCAUUGGAGUGAUGCCCCAGCAUGGUUGUAAGAUCAGUGUUGCUGUUCCAAAAUAACAUCUGGACGCUAUCCUCCUAUUCUCUUAGUCUGCAGUAGAGGUUGCAAUUGUUACCAUUAAGUAGAUUAAAAUAACCGAAUGUGUAUUUGUUUUAAAACUUUUCUGAAUUGCCCUUUCAUUUAAAAAUAAAUAAAUCCAGGCUGGUUUACCAUAGUUCAUACAACACAAUAAAAGAGCAAUAAUCAAUAACGUGGUUAGGGGGAGUAAAAGACAGUCCUAAAAACAGUUGCAGCAGAAGUGAAACACCGGAGGUUUAAAGUAUGAGAAAGGGGGAAAACAUAGUACUUAAAAAAGAUUAAGAUAUCUGUCAGGUGAGCUUCUCUAAGGUGAGAAUUCCACAAGUUGGAUACCACAGGCAGGAGCACCACAAUGCAUGUUGUUUGUCAUUGCGUUCCUCAGUACUAUAUAUAUUUUUUCUGAAUCAAAGGCUGCCAUUCUAGGCAUGCUUAGCUGGGAGUAGGUCUCACUGACUUACUUUCAAUGGCAGCCUGUAGGGUGAUUCACUAAACAAAACCGGCACCAUUCCUACCCAUAUGUUUACAUGCUGCAAAUGGCCUCCACUCUCACUCCCCCCCAUCAGUGUAUAUGUCAAAUUAGUAUGUUUGGGCCCAAUGCACACUGGCUUCAACUUACCUACUUUUGCCAUUUAAUUGUUCCAAUUAUCACCCAGUUUGAAGAGCUUCUUCUGGAGCUCUUUGCUUUUAUGCUUUUUAGCAGCCUAAAUAAUUUGGCGUCAUCAGCCCACGGUGAGGCAUUCUUUGCCAUGGACACACCAGCUAGAAAAUAAGUGAGCAAACCACAUGCUCAAGAUGCUUUGCAGGGUGUGAAUGUACAUGGGGUAUUCCUACACUGAGAGAAGAAAACCUCAUUGAGAGACUGUCUUUGAGACCUUUGGAAGAAAGCUUGUAUUGGUCUAAGACAUGCUUAGACAACGCUGGGAAACCUGCAGCCCUCCAGAAAUUGUUGGACUCCAACUCCAAUCAACUCCAGCCAGCAUGAUCAAUGGUCGGAGAAGAUGGAAGCUGUAGUCCGGCAACAUCUAGAGCGCCAUAGAUUCCCCAACUCUGGUCUAACGUAUAUGGAAAUUAGAAGAGAACAAUGAUUAACUCGUUUCCACCCCUCUCUUCCAUAAGUAUGAAAUGCUUUCACAGAUGUGGACCGCUGUUACAAUUGUAAUAACUGAAAAUCAAUCCUUAGAAAGAUUAAUAAAGGAAGGCAGAGUAUUGAGACAAGAAUUUAUUAGAACCGAAUAUGAGACUGGGUCCAAUUAUUAAGAAGCAAAAAAGAGAGAGAAAGAGAUAAAAAGAGAAAGUAAUAUACUGCGAAAUUACAGAUAGCAGUUGCAUUACGUGACUCAAGAUUCCAGCAUGCUAUUGCUUGAACGUAUUAAAGCAGAAACGUGUUUAAUUAAAAUGCACAAAAAGAUACAAGCAGGAUGUCAAUGUAGUGCUGCAGGGGAAUACAAAAAGGUUGUCUUAAUUAUCUCCAUAAACUUGACAAGCGUAUGUCCUAAUUUGCAUCAAUAUUGUAGCAACCUUAACAUCAUAGUGGUGCUUCUCUUCUGGGUGACCUAUUGAACCCAGCUGCAGCAGAGAGGUCAUGGCCUUGGAACUCCUAUGCUUUUGAGCUCCUGUCUGCAUAAUAUCAGCCAGUUGGGGGGGGGGGGAAUAGUCUAACAUUUCUCCAAUGAAAAUAGGGACACCCUACGGAAAAGGAAGACAUUCCGGGAUCAAAUCAAUCAAAAAACGGGAUGGCUUCUGUAAAUCUGAGACUGUCCCUGGAAAAUAGGGACACUUGGAGGUUUUGUUGUCCUGCUAUUCAAUACAAUUUUACCAAACAUCAUACCUAAAGCAGGAACAGCAAACCUACAGCAUAAGGUGCAAAAUAUCCCAUUCCCUCUUGCACAGAGCAUUCAUUAAUGAUAUAGAACUGCUUUGAAUUCCAAGACAUUGAUUGUCAUUAGGUAAGCCAUUAGGUCUGUUCACAAUUUUUAAAUUUAACCUGCUAUCGAUACUCCUGUGCUAUAUCAUUCUCCUACCAUUGAUUAUCCAACCCAGUUCAACCCAGUUGUUUUUCCUCUCUCAGAAAGUUCCUUCAUAAUCUUAGUCAAUGUCUUUUUGUGCAGGAGCAGCCCCAUAACGCAGCUAGGACUGAUGAGAGUUGCGGUUCAAAGCAUCCAGAGAGGACCAAGCUGGGAAAUGCUGAGUUGAGGCAAUGCAUUAGAUAUGGCAGACCAAACAAACCCUGUAUGUGAGGUCUUGCUUUUGCUUUGGAUUCUCAUUUUGUUGAAUGUUGGUUUCUCAUUACAGACCGACUUUGGGGUUUGAAAGAAACAUUAGAAGUUGUUAUGUGAUGCCACCAAAAUCAGUGUCGUGAAUGUGAGCAGAAGCACAAAUGUUAACUGCGACACAUCACCCUUUGGGUGCUUCCAUACUCCAAGCUGACCAGAUUGUGUUUCUCUUUCCUCUGCAGAGAUCCCUGGAUGCCCUGGAAUGGUUGAAAGUUGAGUGGGUUAAGCUUUUGCCCUCCUAACCAUUUGCAACUCUCAGAAGCUCAUGAAGAGACAAGUCUAAGCUCUGCUUUACUUCUGUUGGCACAGAGGAACUCUGCAUUCCUUUGCACAGGGAUGAAAGGAAGGACAGCUAGCAAACCAAGUUUCCAGGCUGUGAAGCAUAAGAAAACUGCAGUGAAUGAACCAUUUCGGGGAUUCAGCUGUGAGAAGCCAAAUCAGUUCUGUGUAACUACUGCUUGAGAUAGGAUUGGUGGAGCCUUCGCAGUGCAAUAAUGAAAGGCUUUCCUAGAGCUGAAGAACAUGAGUUUCCAGAAGUAGGGGAAGAGUUAAUGAUUUUAUUAACUCACCCACACUGUUUCCACUGGAAAUAUCCUCAAGGAGCUGAAAAGCUUUGGGAAGACAUUUUCCCAUCUUGUUGUUAGUCUACUUGUGGAAGGGACAUCAAAUAUCUGGCUUCCUGGUGAAGCCAGCAGAUUGCUAGGAUUGGGACGGGAUCAUUAUGCAGCCCAAACGUGAAAAGAAUUUGGGAAUUAAUACACCGAGGAGCACUCUUGUAAAACCAAAUUGGUUUGCAGUGCACAUUCAAAGCUGGUUUCUGCUCCUGGAAGUAUUUUGCCAACUUUUCCCCAAGCCAACACUUGUCCCUAUAGCCAAGUGGUUCCACAAAGACAGAAGUGAAUAAUCACCUUGUGGUAGGAUUUCAAAAAAAUUGACUCAACGUUUACCAAGGCCCUUAUUCAGAGGCAGUUCUCAGUAAUAUUGACUUCUGUGCAAUUUCAAGAGACCCCAAGAGACCAAGAUUGAAAGGCAGCUUCUCUCAAUUUUUUUUAAAAAAAGAACUUGCAAGCAACCAAACACCCCUCAUAUACUGUUCUUGAAGCUAAGCUUUCUGCAUCAACCUCCUGGUGUCAUAGGAUGCCUGCACUCUUCUUUUGGAAUCUUGAGAUGUCUGGCCUUGACUACUCAGCUCGCUCCAAGUGCUGAUGAUGUUUAACCCCUUUUGCCAGGAGACACUUCCAAGGCUUUGUAGGAAGGGGAAAGAAGCCUUGUUGAAUACUUGGGAGAGACAGACCACUGCCAGAGAAGCUUAUGCGAGGAGUCUGGAGUCGAAGUUGGAUGGCCAAGGGUGGUUUCAGAAAAGGGGAGAAUCUUUCAAGUUGUGGUUUUGUAAGAAAACUCAAUUCCCUGUAUAUUACAUUAACAACUCUGAGGUGUUAAAAAAAAAGAAAAAGCUUUCAAAUGUAAUCUGUUUCAGCCUGGAAGGCAACAGGCAGCUUAAAAAUGCAGAAGGAAAGGUUCUUCAUUUUGAUGAUUAUGUUAAGGGCUUUGUCCCGUAAGAUUUAAAAGAUGCCUGGAGCCAAACCAUGAAUUAUUGAGGCUUCUGUGUGUGUAGUGUCCUGUCCCUUUGACGCAGUGUGCAAUAUUGCUAAGGAUCAAAAGACCUUCUACUGUCUGCAGCAAAAGAGAAAGAGAAACCCAUGCUAUCAACUGCAAGGGGGAAUGAAGCUAUCCAUCAGCAGAGAAGCUGGUGUUCUUGCCAUUGUGCAUGACAAGUGAUUGUACUGCUGUUUGCUCUCAUGGACUUUGUGCAAGCAUGAGCCUCUUAUUCAUUGGACCGCUUUGAACCCAUUGGAUUCCUAAACAUCAUGUGCAGGGGGGAGAAGGGAUUUGGGGCUCUGCAAAGCAUGUUGCCUGUGAAAUUAAGACACACCGGGCUUCCAUGUGUGCUGCUGUAAAGUUGUGGUGUCUAUUUAUUUAUUUAUUGGGUAAGGAUGAGUUCUGGUUUCUUCACCUUCCUUACUAUGGGGGAAGAUGGUGCCAAAUCUCACAGAGCAAUGGGUCACUGGCUGCUCCAAAAUAAAAAAAACUGAAUCAAUUGUGUGAUGGUGUGCAAUAUCUGUCAUUUUCUUCUUACUUUGCUGGUCCAGAAGAGACCAUGUCAGUAUGCUGGUUCCUCUGCAGUGCAUUCUGUCUCCAUUUCUGCUUUCUUAGGUACGCCAUGUGUAGUAUAAAAAAACCAAAUUUGAUUUAAUGCUUAGAGGUUCUUUACAUGCCCUCUUUGUGUACAAUCAGCUGGCCUAGAGCCUCACUGGAUAUAAACCAGGCCAGCUUCACUACAGUCUCUCUGUUUAUAUAUGCAUAUUUCUCCAGUGGAGCCUCUCCACUGUAGCUUCCUUUCAUGCCUUGCAAGCUACUUGUGCAUUCACUGCGUAUGCAAACAUUUUCAUUAGCCACACUGGCAUUUAACCAUUAUCUACUACUACUACUACUACUACUACUACUAAUUAUUAUUUAUUUAUACCCCGCCCAUCUGGCUGGGUUUCCCCAGCCACUCUGGGCAACUCCCAACAGAAUAUUAAAAACACGAUAAAACAUCAAACAUUAAAAACUGCCCUAAACAGAACCAAACUAGGCAAGACACAGAAGACCAGUGAACAGGAUCUCCUGCUUAAAUAAAUACAUAAAAGCAGGCGCAGGGUGUGUUGGAAUUAUUUACACCGGACAAGAGGGUACACAGAGACUGAACAUGGAGCCCGGCACGCUUCCGUUGCGGAACUCUGCAAGCUAUCCGUGCCUCCUGCAAGAAUCCUCCUCAGGCCUCUUUCUCUUGCCGGUAGCAGAGCGAAACACAGCGGUGAGAAGCAGAGUGCAGCACGUGUGGAAUAAAUCAGUCCAGACACAAGGCAGUCCUUAUCUACUCUUGCCUUUUAAUCAUGAAGAAUAACAUCAUAAAUUCAGACCUGGCGAGAACUGACACAUUCUCCCUUUCGCAUCACGUCCGAAAGUCAGACUGAAACACACGGAGUCAAACCCCUCCCUUAAGUGUUUCUAACCACGCCUCAGGAAAGAGACGUCACCAGAACUCUUUAACUCUGUGAGUUCUGAAACCAUUCACACCCCUCUCGUCACGAAUCCUGAGGGGAAACUGUGAACCCCUAUUUACAGACCUCUUUGAGUUCAACUCACCUCCCAUUGCCUUUUGCCUCCCACUGGCAUCCAUCCCAGGCAAUUGUUGAAUCCCUUCCACACUCCCAGAAUCACACUGUGCGAAACCAACCCACGCACUGGUGACCUGAAACCUCUCCGGUGGAAUCCCCUUUGUGGUCCGAGUUGACCGCCGGAGCACAACCUCAGGCGCUCCUCCUGACCCACUGGGGUCAGCAAGUGUGUCUCCAGCAAGCUCAGAAGACUCCCCUCUGACUUGCUGCGUCUUCGGGCUUCCUGCACUUGGCUAACAGGAGAUGAAGGCUCACUCUUGGGUUCCCUCUUAACCUGUGGAGAAACCCACCCCUGUGCUUGACCAUCAUCAGCAACCUGGUCUUCAGCAACAGGCUCCGCCUCUGCCUCUCCUUCCUCCCUUUCUUCCUCCUUUUCCUCCCCCUCAGAAUCGGACAAGCAGUCUGAGAGAAAAUCAGAACCAUACCUAGGCUGUGACCAACCAUCCUGCUCAAAGAACUCAGCAUGCUUGCUGACCAGCAGCGUGGUCUGAUCACCCUCUGGGUAUGCAAACUUCCACCCAUUUGUUGCAGGAUCAUACCCACAGAAGAUCAUGUCCUGGUACCUAGGACCAUCCUUCUUCCGUUGCGCUGUUGGUAUUGGCACUGAAGCCUUGGAACCAAACGAACGGAAGAAAUGCACCUGUGGCUUCCUCUUGUGCAACAGAAAAUACGGUGUGUCACCUACAUCGUGAUUGUAGGACCUGUUAAAAACAAAGUUGGCAGCUUUCCAAGCUUCACUCCAAAAGCUCUGAGGCAGCCCAGAGUCACCCAGCAAAACUCUGACAGCUUCAGCCAGUGUUUCACUCCUGUGCUGUGCCACGCCUCUCCCUUGAGGAGACUUUGCACCCGUCACGUGGUGACGUAUUCCUUUUUCCUUGAAAAACUCCUCCAGAGCAGACCCAGUAAACUGUGACCCUCGGUCGCUCUUGAACCCUUGCACCCUGGUGGAAAACCUUCGUUCCACCUCCGCAACCCAAUCCUGGAUCAGUUGCGCCGCCUCCCCCUGUGAUUUGAGAGAGAAACACCAGCCAACCUGGCUGUGGUCAUCUGUCAGCGAUAGCACAUACUUGGCCCCACCCAGACUCUCACACCUCAUGGGUCCUGACAGAUCUGUGUGAAUCAACUCAAAAGGUUUUGUGGUUACCCUCUUUACACCGGGAAACCUGCACCUUUGAACCUUGCUGCAUGCCCUGCACACUAGGGAUCUCUCACAUGGUGUGAUUUUACAUCCUUCGGUGCAGCCUGGCAGCCUCUUAACAUCCUCCAGACAAGCAUGAGACAUUCUCUUGUGCCAUACAUGAACACAUGAAUCAUGGCUGGGAACACUAGCACACUGCGCCUGUGCUUUCCCUGCAUUCCCACCACCCUCCAGAGGUGUUUCCAGAACAAAGAGAUUGUCCUUGCUCUCCACGUUGACAAGUUGCCUCCCACAACCCCUUGGCUACCAGCCAGGCCUUUAGCUUCCGGCUCCAUUCGGCCCAAUUUUGUCCAUUUAAUUUCUCAAAGGGAACUGAGAAUGAUUCACGAUCGUCUGCCAUCUCCUCCCCGGGGCUAAGCUUACUCACGUCUCCCGGCAGUAGCUUCUCCGCCUCCCGGCUCCGGCAGAUCGCUUCUCCCCAGCGAGCUCCUUCCAGCUUCAAAGACACAGCUCCAGAGCUCCAGCUGGACCCCAGCAACUUUCCUGCUGGCUUCCCCACACGUGGGACGUUCCUGCAAUGCUUCAAAGCUUUGGCGAGCUGCCAUAACCUGUUGGAAUUAUUUACACCGGACAAGAGGGUACACAGAGACUGAACAUGGAGCCCGGCACGCUUCCGUUGCGGAACUCUGCAAGCUAUCCGUGCCUCCUGCAAGAAUCCUCCUCAGGCCUCUUUCUCUUGCCGGUAGCAGAGCGAAACACAGCGGUGAGAAGCAGAGUGCAGCACGUGUGGAAUAAAUCAGUCCAGACACAAGGCAGUCCUUAUCUACUCUUGCCUUUUAAUCAUGAAGAAUAACAUCAUAAAUUCAGACCUGGCGAGAACUGACACAUUCUCCCUUUCGCAUCACGUCCGAAAGUCAGACU